rnacentral:rRNA from 1 species
CGGGGACGUAACUACGUGCCAGCAGCCGCGGUAAGUACGUAGGUCCCGAGCGUUGUCCGGAUUUAUUGGGCGUAAAGCGAGCGCAGGCGGUUUGAUAAGUCUGAAGUUAAAGGCUGUGGCUCAACCAUAGUUCGCUUUGGAAACUGUCAAACUUGAGUGCAGAAGGGGAGAGUGGAAUUCCAUGUGUAGCGGUGAAAUGCGUAGAUAUAUGGAGGAACACCGGUGGCGAAAGCGGCUCUCUGGUCUGUAACUGACGCUGAGGCUCGAAAGCGUGGGGAGCGG